GCAGUAGCCGCGGGAACACCAGCACCUCGAGUGGUCAGGAGGUUUAUUGGGCCUAAAGCCUCCGUAGCCGGUUGCAUAAGUUUUCGGUUAAAUCUAUGCGCUUAACGUAUAGGCCGCCGAAAAUACUGUGCAGCUAGGGAGUGGGAGAGGUACACGGUACUCGAUAGGAAGGGGUAAAAUCCUUUGAUCUAUUGAUGACCACCUGUGGCGAAGGCGGUGUACCAGAACACGUUCGACGGUGAGGGAUGAAAGCUGGGGGAGCAAACCGGAUUAGAUACCCGAGUAGUCCCUGUCUCUUAUAC
rnacentral:rRNA from 1 species